GCAUAUCAAUAAGCGGAGGAAAAGAAAAUAACAAUGAUUCCUCUAGUAACUGCGAGUGAAGAGGGAAAAGCUCAAAUUUUGAAUCUGUUAGGUUUACCUAACCGAGUUGUAAUUUGAAGAAGCGUUUUCUGCGAAUUUGGUUAGUCCAAAUCCUUUGGAAUAAGGUAUCAUGGAGGGUGAGAAUCCCAUUCGGUUAACCAAAGCGCUUUACGAUACGCUUUCAAAGAGUCAAGUUGUUUGGGAUUGCAGCUUAAAAUGGGAGGUAAAUUUCUCCUAAGGCUAAAUAUUGGCGAGAGACCGAUAGCGAACAAGUACCGUGAGGGAAAGAUGAAAAGAACUUUGAAAAGAGAGUUAAACAGUACGUGAAAUUGUUGAAAGGGAAACGAUUAAAGCCAGUCGUACCUACGAGUGAUCAACCUACUCGAGUGCGAUUUUGUGGGUAUGUUUGAGCUUAAAAACCUUCAUGCUUACAAAUUGGUGCUCUUUGGGCGUACUUUCUCGUAUGGUAGGUUAACAUCAAUUUCGAUCGUUAUAAAAUGACUGGAGGAAUGUAGCUUCGACUUCGGUUGAAGUGUUAUAGCCUUUGGUAGAUGUAAUGAUUGGGAUUGAGGAUUGCAACGGAUACCCUCUGGGCUAUUCGUCUGAUCUCUGGAAGUUACCUUGGUGUCGAAAGCGUGCUUACGAUAUUAAGGUUGACGGCCAAUAGGUUAGAACGUGAUUAAAUUCGUUAAGGAUGUUGACGUAAUGGCUUUAAACGAC
rnacentral:rRNA from 1 species